UUUCCGUAGGUGAACCUGCGGAAGGAUCAUUACCGAGUGAGGGCCCUCUGGGUCCAACCUCCCACCCGUGUUUAUCAUACCUUGUUGCUUCGGCGGGCCCGCCUCACGGCCGCCGGGGGGCACCCGCCCCCGGGCCCGCGCCCGCCGAAGACACCAUUGAACGCUGUCUGAAGAUUGCAGUCUGAGCAUCUUAGCUAAAUCAGUUAAAACUUUCAACAACGGAUCUCUUGGUUCCG
rnacentral:misc_RNA from 1 species